rnacentral:rRNA from 1 species
GAUGAACGCUGGCGGCGUGCCUAAUACAUGCAAGUCGAGCGAACAGAUGAGGAGCUUGCUCCUCUGACGUUAGCGGCGGACGGGUGAGUAACACGUGGAUAACCUACCUAUAAGACUGGGAUAACUUCGGGAAACCGGAGCUAAUACCGGAUAAUAUAUUGAACCGCAUGGUUCAAUAGUGAAAGACGGUUUUGCUGUCACUUAUAGAUGGAUCCGCGCCGCAUUAGCUAGUUGGUAAGGUAACGGCUUACCAAGGCAACGAUGCGCAGCCGACCUAAGAGGGUGAUCGGCCACACUGGAACUGAGACACGGUCCAGACUCCUACGGGAGGCAGCAGUAGGGAAUCUUCCGCAAUGGGCGAAAGCCUGACGGAGCAACGCCGCGUGAGUGAUGAAGGUCUUCGGAUCGUAAAACUCUGUUAUUAGGGAAGAACAAAUGUGUAAGUAACUAUGCACGUCUUGACGGUACCUAAUCAGAAAGCCACGGCUAACUACGUG